GCCUGGGUGGCUCAGUCAGUUGAGUGUCUGACUUCGGCUCAGGUCAUGAUCUCGCAGUUCGUGGGUUCGAGCCCCGCAUCGGGCU
rnacentral:tRNA from 1 species